UUGGAGUUACUUGCCACAUAUUGCACUGUAAAAUCAUUGAUAUAGAAUGCCCACAG
rnacentral:sRNA from 1 species